rnacentral:tRNA from 1 species
GGGCCUGUAGUCUAGUGGAUAGGAUGCGAGGCUUCGGACCUCGCGACCUGGGUUCGAAUCCCAGCGGGCCCG